rnacentral:rRNA from 1 species
AUGAGUUGCCUAAAAGAAGUUCCAACACUCAGAGGUGACAACCACACUGAGUGGAGGAAGAAAGUUGAACUGGCGUUUGUUUGUGCUGAUCUUGACUGGGUUGUGAAGAAACCACAGCCGGUCAGACCCACAGAGCCAGUAAGAGAGGCUACUGACGAUGAUGCUGCAUGGGCUAAAAAGAGAGGGGACUAUGCUCCUUUGGAGCAGUCCUACCUCAUAGAUAAUCAAAAGUGGGUCAAUGCAAAUAAAAAAUGCAUGGCCUUUAUAAAGAACACCAUUGAGAGCGCCAUUGUGGGCUCCAUUGCAGAGUGCACUUCCGCAGGGGAGUUGCUCUCAAAAAUAAAGAGCCAGUUCACUGGCUCUUCAAAGAUAUAUGCCACCCAGGUGUUAGAGCAACUGGUGACAGAAAAAUACACAGGUGGCAGUCAUGGCAUAAGAGAGCACAUCCUCAGGAUGAGCAAUAUGGCUGCAAAGCUCAAACCAAUGGAUGCGGAUCUGGAGAUCAAACCAGCGCUCCUGGUCCACCUUGUCAUGGCUUCAUUGCCGAAGGAGUUUGAAGCUUUUGUAGUGAACUAUAAUAUGUCACCUGGAACAUGGGACGUAGAAAAGACAAUAGCAAUGUGUGUUCAAGAAGAGGAGAGACUAAAAGCCUCACAUGGUGGUAUACUCAACUAUGUGCAUGGUCACAAAAGAAAGAAUUACAAUCUAAACAACAAAAGUUCUCCUUCAAAGCCACAAGGAAAAGUUUCCUAUCAUCAUCAGCCUUUCUCAGUGGACAAAGACACUUGUCUCCACUGUAAGAAGACCGGGCAUUACAAGAAAGACUGUCCCGUUUGGCUAAAGUCGAUCAUGGCAAAAAGAGGGAUUCCAUUCGACGCGGACUACGCUAAGAAGCGAAAGACACAUUGA